rnacentral:tRNA from 1 species
GCAAUCGUGGCCGAGUGGUUAAGGCGAUGGAUCCAUUGGGGUCUCCCCGCACAGGUUCGAGUCCUGUCGACUGCG